GAGCCAGUGGCGAAGGGUAUUGCGUCCGCCUCGUAUAUAUAUUGAGUGCCAGUAAUGCGGAAGGCCCGGGUUCGACUCCCGGCUGGCUCA